GACGAACGCUGGCGGCGUGCCUAAUACAUGCAAGUUGAGCGAUGAAGAUUGGUGCUUGCACCAAUUUGAAGAGCAGCGAACGGGUGAGUAACGCGUGGGGAAUCUGCCUUUGAGCGGGGGACAACAUUUGGAAACGAAUGCUAAUACCGCAUAACAACUUUAAACAUAAGUUUUAAGUUUGAAAGAUGCAAUUGCAUCACUCAAAGAUGAUCCCGCGUUGUAUUAGCUAGUUGGUGAGGUAAAGGCUCACCAAGGCGAUGAUACAUAGCCGACCUGAGAGGGUGAUCGGCCACAUUGGGACUGAGACACGGCCCAAACUCCUACGGGAGGCAGCAGUAGGGAAUCUUCGGCAAUGGACGAAAGUCUGACCGAGCAACGCCGCAUGAGUGAAGAAGGUUUUCGGAUCGUAAAACUCUGUUGGUAGAGAAGAACGUUGGUGAGAGUGGAAAGCUCAUCAAGUGACGGUAACUACCCAGAAAGGGACGGCUAACUACGUG
rnacentral:rRNA from 1 species